AAACGCAAGUUAGGCUGUUGAAUCACCGAAAACGCAAGAAUGGCGCCACAAUCUAGGGAUUGAUAAGCCAAAAAGAACGCAACACAAAAAUAGUAUUCCAAAUUUGCCUUAAAAAAAAAUAAGGGUUUGCCUUUUAUAGUGGCAACUCCUUACAAGUUCUCUAAAUUUGACCCAACUAAAGUUAUUUAGAACCUCCUUCGCCUUCUUUGACCUUGCUCUUGUCAUUGGAGUUCGAAGACCUUGAAUAUCCUCUAGGCUUCCUUCCUUGGUUAUGCAUUCUAUGUCCUCAUCACAAGAGAAGGUCAAAAUCAGAAAGGUAAAGUAGUGUUUAGAUCUAUUUUAAAAAAGUGAUUUGUAUUCAUCUAGAAAAAAAAAAGGGAUUCUCAGCUUUUGUUGAUGAACAGCAUUUCUUCGCGGCCGUUUUGCAUUAUUUUUCUUCACUCUGUUAGAACAGAGAAUAACUACAUUUCCGUUUUUUUAUUCCUUGAUGGUAUCUUUUGAUCCAAAUAGUCCAUUCUACGUAAUGGUACUUAUGCCUUAGUUAUCAAAGAAGUUAAUCUAGUCAGAAAUUUCAAUUUUAAAUUCAAGCAGCCUGUUUCUAGAAGCUGAGCUGUCCAAAUCUGUUGGCAUAUUCCCCACUUUUGGUGGAGAUGGUUGUAACUAAAUUCUGUUCAUAUAGCCUUUUGAGCUAAAUGAAAAGUACAAUCAGAAUUCAAUCAAUACUCUAUCUUUUAUUCAGUCUCAGUUUAACAAUUGUUCAUCAUCACUGAGUUCUAUUCAAUCAUUAGAGCUUAUUUAGUGAACUAGGAUCGUUAAUGGUUCUCCCUAACAAUCCAAAUCGGUCUCAUUCUAUUUAGUGGGAAUAGACUUUUGUGUUGUUAUCGUCUUUGUUGUGUUACAGGAUUGUUUUGCCGGAGGGUAUUACAAACUUUGGAAUGAUUGCCUGGUUUUAUUAAGCUCGUCUGGUAAUUAGCUUGAACCAAUGCUUGAUGUGUCUACAUGUUAUAUGAAACCAUUUUUCUCAACUUUCCUAUGUUCCAGUUGAUUACCGUAUUUGCUUCAACUAAAUGAACUAUUAAGACAUUUUUAUCUUAUCAUGUUUUUUCCCCCAUGUAUUUGCAUGUUGUGGCCUCUGAAUCAUUGCAGAAAAUGCCAACCAUACAAGUAAGCACCAUUGUAUUUUAUUUGAUAAGUUUGUUGUAUUCUUCUUUGGCUGGUGAUUAAAAUGUUUCCUUUGCAGCUAUGGAAAGACAGCAAGAAACAAGCUGAAGUCAUUGGUGGGAAUAAAGCAUAUUUGGUAAUAAAUGAGGUUCAGGAGAUGAUUGAGAAUGAGUGCACUGUGAGUUUUUAGUGCAACAGGCAUUUUAUGCGAUUUUAAUAUACCGUUAAAUGAUUUUAGGUAACUUUUUUUCCAAAAAAUGAAGCGAUAAAAAACCCAGUUCAAAUGUAUAUAAUUGGAAAGGAAUUGGAACAUGAAAAAGAGAAACGAGAAAAAAAAACUCCUGAAAUAGUUUUUCCUUCAACAAAAGGUUUCCUUUUCACACAAAUUAGUGAUUCGAGUGAUUCCUUCCAUUUCAAUUUCUCCCAUUUAUCGUUUCAAACUCAGUUUUGCAGGUCUGUUUCUGUUUUGCAUCAAAUGUAUUUAAAAGUAAUUUCACUAUGAAUUUCAUUUUUAUUAUUAAGUAUGAAAGGAAGUAACUACUUGUUAGAUGAUGACAAAUUUGAGGUUUGAAUUCCGAAGUAAGAGCAGACAAGGUUAUGCACUUGACGUAACAUGUCUAAGUCCAUCCAGAAUGAAACUUCCUUCGUGUGGGUGCUUAAGUGGGUUGCAUCAUAUAUAUUAUUCAUUUAUAAUUUUUCAAGGGUUAAAUAUGUUUUUAUACUUUAUGAAUAUAUUAUAUUUUGUUUUUAGUCUUUCUAAAAUUUCAAUUCAAACAAUAGUUUCAUAAAUAUUUUCCAUCAAUAAUUUUGAUCAUUGCUUUUAAUUUAACUCAUGUAUAUUGUUUGAAUUUUUAAAUAAUUUUUUGCGUACAUAUUUAGAAUAUCAUAAGAAUCUCUCACAAAAAUUUAGAUUUUUUAUUCAUCGGAGAGGACCCCUACAACAAUAGAAUGCAUUGCUACAUGAUAGACUAAUUUUUUCUACGGUUAGAUUUAAUCAUCCACCAUAUCUUAUCAUGUGCUAUCCACACAAAAUCUAACCCUUCAACUUUGACAUGGUUUUCCCUCUCUAUUUCUCUUCCCCAUCCCCACCGGUUAUCCACAUCAACCUUGUUACACUUUGUUGAUUCUUUCAUUUUUAUAUCACAACAUUCAAGAUAACUUGUUCAAGCCAAGUGAUCAGACCAUCAUCAUUGACUCUCAUUAUCAUUACCUCAUCAAAUAAGAUAUAGGAAAAUAAAUCAAGCUUUUGAAGAAGCAACUAGAAGAACUGACCAUGUUACUAUGUUAAUGAUGUUGCUCCUAAUCGCUUCAAAGAAAACCAAUUAACUAAACCAUUGUAAUGUAUAUGCUGAUUUGACCUUGACUAAUUGCCAAUUGGAGAUGUUGAUUGCUAAUUGAAAAAUGACGGAGAAGGAAUUAUAUGGUAAUAAUUGUUUAAUAAAAAACAGUUAAAUUUUUCUGGGUAUAAACUUUUUUUUGUGAAAAAAAAAGAAAUUGCUUGUUAAAAAGAGGUCUAUUUGUAUGUGUCAUGACUCAAUCAAAGCAAACAUAAAUUGAGAUGAGAUGCUGCAGCAGGGAACAAUUUGAGCGCUAAUACAUGUCGACGAGGUAACAGUGGUGUGGUAGCCGAAGUCCAUGACGUGAUCUGUUUGAUUUGGACAACAGUGGUGUGCCGGAGGAGUAAAUUGAAAUGUUAUGUGUUGUAUUUCUCUUUGUUUAGAUCCAUGAAAGGUAAACAAUCUAGAACUGAUGUGGUUGCUUAAAGGGGAAAGUAUAGAUUGAGUGUAGAUGAUGUAUUAUAACAUUGUGAAGUAUAUAAAUGAAUCUACAUUGUUGAAAUUAUUUAAUUAUAUAUCUACGGUUAAAACAAAUUGGUCCAAAAUUGACCAUUCUUUUUCCUGCUGCAAAUUAUUGGCAGCCUUGAUGUAAUUAGAUCAGUUUUUGGGUUGAUUAAGUACUGAUUUUAACAAAUUUUGAGACCGAGUUUAGCACAAUUUUGGGACUAUUUUUAGAUCAAUUCUGGGACUGAUUUUAGCAGGUUUGAGACUGAUUUUAGAUCAGUUUUGGGAUUGAUUUUGUAAUUGAUUUUAGAACAAUUCUGGAACUGUUUUUUGACUCAUUUUGGGACUCAUUUAAGCGGGUUUGGGGCUGACUGACUAUACAUAAAAUUUGGGACUAAUUUCGUGACUGAUAUUGAGACAGUUUUUUUAAUCAGUUUUGGAACUGAUUUAAGCAGGUUUUGGACUGAUUUUAGCGUAGUUGACUAAAUCAAAAUAUCACCAUUAGAACCAAUAUACUUGAGACUAAAUCAAAUUAGAACCAAGACACCUGGGAGUAGGACUGUGCAAAAAAACCGGUUUUGAGACCCAAAUCCAAAACCAAAUCCAAAACCAUUUUUAAUAACCGGUUAAAAUAAUAUGGAUAUAAACCGGUUUAUUUAAAACCGGUUGGAUAACCACCCACAUUUUAUUUUUGGAUUUGGAUUUAAACCAGAUUUUAUCAACUCAAUUCCCAAAUUCCAAUCUCAGAACCCUAAAUCCCCAAAACCCUCAAAAGCAUUUUUCGGCAGCGUUUCCCGGCAAUCUUUCCUUCUGGCAAACCGACAUUCCAUCUUUGAAGCACCUUCCUUCCUUCUUUCUCAAACGUUUACAUUUGGUUCGUUUCUAUUCAUCCUUACUAAGUUUUUUCUCUUGUUUAUUCUUCUUAGUUUCUUCGUUUCUAUUCGUUUUGUUGUUGCUUGAAAAUCAAAUUCCUAUGUUUGUAUUAGAGGAAUUACACAAAAGGGUGUUAUUAGAUUAUGGUAGCGACAAUGAAAAUGAAAAAUGUGUUAGUUUUAUUGAGCUUGCUUUUAAUUACUUUGAAAAUGAAUGUUCUCAAUGACCAUAACCUUAUUGAUGAUUUUGCAGUCUAUUGAAAAGAGUGGGGAUAGGGGUUGUAAGAGUAUACCAAUUCUAUUGCUUUAAAGAAUGAAAAUGAUCUUUAAGAGAUAGGGGUUGUUAAAGACCCAUCAAAAUAUAUUAGGGGAUCUUUAAGAGAUGCAACCAACAUUUCUAUUGCUUUAAAGAAUGAAAAUGAUGUAUACAAUAAGUACAUUGAAUUAAACUACUACACACUUUAACGGUCUAUUGGUUAUGCAUGUGAAUUAACAUGUAUAGUUUACUUGAGGCUAGCAGAGUUAUGGUAUUGAUAUUCUUUCCAAUUUCUUUAUAAGACCAACAACUAUGUGAACAUAGUUUCAAAUAUUCAGAGCAACAUAGUGUCAUAGUUUUUCUUCAGUUUCAAAUCAAAAAGCUUUUUAUUGAGUGGCAGAGGCAAAGAGACCUAGUUUACUGUAAUCAAGUAAGUUGUUUCAUGCUUAUUUCAAUAACAUUAUUGUGCAAAGGAAAAUGACAUUUAUGUUUUCUCUCCUCUAACAAUAGAGAAAUUUAUUGUGCUCUGUACUACAAGAUUCCAAUUCUACAUUGACUUACGUAGCAAUAGCAUUAGGACUUUGGUGGCAAUUGAGAAAGUUAAUAUACUUUCUCAAAUCAUAUAUUGAGAUAAUUUGUAAAGUAAAAGCAGUAAAGGCACUGAUAAUGCUACGUGCAAGAAUGUUUCUAAAGAGAGAUAAAUGGGUUUGGGUUUCCUUUUCAAAUAUGGCCCCAAGAGAACAAAGUGCCCAAACAACAUCUCUUUGUUAUUUAUUAAUUUUAGUAUUAGUUUUUUGAAAUAUAUUUCAUGUCAUCUAAACAAGUUAACACACACAAUUAUGCCAUGAAUACAUACAUUUCUUUGUAAAUUCAAUUAAGUGCUGAAUACCAACAAAAAUAGGCACUUGGCAAGUUCAUAUGAGAUCAUUGUAAUUACGGUUUUUAAAGCUUUGGCUUUCAAAAAUACAAUAGUUUGAUUCAUAGAAUAAGGAAGCGUGUUGGUUCUUUACACCUUGAACAUUAGUUUGAAUUAUGCAUGUGGAUUUGUACCUUGAACAUUUUAAGUUCAUUAACUAUCUUCAUUAUUAUUGCAGCAACCUGUAACAUUACAUCAAGAUGGGUGAUCAAUCUGAGACAGUAAAUUUGUUUGUUUCUCCUCCACCAAUUGUCCCAAACACAACUACAAUGUUACCACCUAGAACCAAAGGUCGUAAAAACCAAUCGUUUGUUUGGAAUGAUUUCACAGUAGAUCCUAACUUGGAUGGGACAUCUAUUUGCAACCAUUGUAGCAAGAAGCUCAAGUGUGAUAAUGGGACGAGUUCGAUGAUACAACAUUCAAAGGGAUGUAAGAAAAACCCCAAUAACGAGUUUAACCAGAGGAAGAGAACAUUGGAUGCAAUGAAUGUUGAAGGUCAUACUAUUUCUUCCCCUUCAGUGCCUAGGUUUGAUCAAGAAAAAUUACGAUAUUUACUCGUGAAGAUGUUUAUAGGCAUGGAAUUGCCUUUUCGAAAAGUGGAGCAUCCAAAUUUUCAAGAAUUUGUAAGUGGCUUAAAUCCAAAAUUCAAUCUUAUAUCACGCACUACACUUGCACGCGAUACUUUGUUGCAACAUGAAUUAACGAUCUGCACACGGACAACUGAUUCAUUCAAGUGUAGGAGUAGAAAAUAAGCAAACCAUAGUUGGGUCUGUUUGGAUUGACUUAUGUGAACUUAUUUAUUGAGAUAUGCACUUGUGAGACUAUUUGGAAGACGUUAUGGAAACAACUUAUAACAUCCUUAAGCCUUUUUUAGCUUAUUUCCAUAAGCUCUCAAAGAUAGCUUAUGAAAACAACUUGAAUCAUAUAUGAUAACAGUUUGACUUUAGUUUAUCUUUUGUUAUAGAAAUAACUUAUACAUAAGCUCUUAUAUAAUAAACGCUUAUGCUAAAAGAAAUUAAUUAGGUUGUUCAUCCAAACAAGUUGUCUUAAACGGGCCCGACAGAGACCUAAUAAGACGAAGUCUUGACUUAUUUUACCUGAUCUAGCCAUUUUUCAAGACUCGAGAUCUAGCUUUUGCUUUUCAAAUCUUUGUCUUAUCUUGAGAUAUAUUUUGCCUACUCUGCAAUAAGGCCUUUACACAAUCCAACAAUUCUACUUCUAUAAAAACUGAUUGACUCUGAAAUAAGCUAAAGGGUUUAUGCCUUUUAAUAGGUCAACAAGUGAAUGAUUUUAGGAAAUUACAAUACAAAUCUAACAUGGGUUUUUGUUUCAGAUACACAAUUUUUUCAAACAUAUUUUAGUUGUUUGUAUGAUACUGCAUAACCAAUUCAACCUGCCCAUUUGUUACCCAUUCACGGCCACAAUUCACACUAACACAACCAAGUACCAACCUCACCACCUACCCCAUAAUGGAUCAAGAGGGCAAGAUGAUAUGACCCUGGAUUUUUCUAGGUUGAAAACUUACAGAUUUGAGUCAAAAUCGCGUAUUGUUGGAGAACACGAUAAACAGAACUACGAAACUCCGAAUCGGACGAUUUCAAAACGAGGUGAAAGACGACGUUCUGAAACGCAAGUUAGGCUGUUGAAUCACCGAAAACGUAAGAAUGGCGCCACAAUCUAGGGAUUGAUAAGCCAAAAAGAACGCAACACAAAAAUAGUAUUCCAAAUUUGCCUUAAAAAAAAAUAAGGGUUUGCCUUUUAUAGUGGCAACUCCUUACAAGUUCUCUAAAUUUGACCCAACUGAAGUUAUUUAGAACCUCCUUCGCCUUCUUUGACCUUGCUCUUGUCAUUGGAGUUCGAAGACCUUGAAUAUCCUCUAGGCUUCCUUCCUUGGUUAUG
rnacentral:lncRNA from 1 species